rnacentral:rRNA from 1 species
ACACAUGCAAGUCGAGCGGAGAUGAGGUGCUUGCACCUUAUCUUAGCGGCGGACGGGUGAGUAAUGCUUAGGAAUCUGCCAUUUAGUGGGGGACAACAUUCCGAAAGGAAUGCUAAUACCGCAUACGUCCUACGGGAGAAAGCAGGGGAUCUUCGGACCUUGCGCUAAAUGAUGAGCCUAAGUCGGAUUAGCUAGUUGGUGGGGUAAAGGCCUACCAAGGCGACGAUCUGUAGCGGGUCUGAGAGGAUGAUCCGCCACACUGGGACUGAGACACGGCCCAGACUCCUACGGGAGGCAGCAGUGGGGAAUAUUGGACAAUGGGCGGAAGCCUGAUCCAGCCAUGCCGCGUGUGUGAAGAAGGCCUUUUGGUUGUAAAGCACUUUAAGCGAGGAGGAGGCUACUAGUACUAAUACU